rnacentral:lncRNA from 1 species
GAACAGUGGGGCCUUCAGCAUCAUUAUUGCUCAGAUCUCUUUAAUGUUUGGCUUAAAUGAAGACAGCUGGAUUCUCUUCUUCUGCAUUCAAUCUGUUAGGAUGUGCUGUUUGCUGAAAGCAUGAAAAUCCUAGCACCUCACCUCACCUCUUGGGGACCUUGGACCGCACUUUGAGAACCAUUAGUUUUUCUUUCAGCUCUACAUCAUUCACAGCCGGGCCUGGUGGCUCAUGGCUGUAAUCCCAGGACUUUGGGAGGCUGAGGUGGGUGGAUCACCUGAGGCCAGCAGUUUGAGACCAGCCUGGGCAACAUGGUGAAACCCCGUCUCUACUAAAUAUACAAAAAUUAGCCAGGCGUCAUGGCACCCUCCUGUAGUCCCAGCUACUCAGGAGGCUGAGGCAGGAGAAUCACUUGAACCCGGGAGGCAGAGGUUGCAGUGAGCCGAGAUCGCACCACUGCACUCCUGCCUGUGCGACAGAGAGAGGCUCUGUCUCAAAAAAUAAAUAAAUAAAUAAAUAAAUAAAUAAUUUGUUCAUUCACUCACUCAUUCAACACUACUGGAUCCCAGAGACAAAGAACAAUGUGGUCGCUGCCUUUGAGGAGUCUAGUUGAGAAAAAAGAUGAAAACGAAUUAAAAAUUACAGCACGACAUGAGUGAGCAGAGGAGGAAGUUAGGAAAUUACUGGUUUGCCUAAGGGAGGCAGGGAAGGCUUACAGGAGUACAGGGAACCCGAAUUUUGACUUUACUUUCCUAUGCUCCACCUAAGCAGAAGGAAGAGUAUGCACAAAGGCACAGGGGCAGGAAUUAAUACAGUACAAGGAAGCCCAGGGUGCGCUGGCAGGAAGAGUCCGUAUGCUGGAAAAGCACGUUGGGCCUUAAAGUUACAUUUCAUCCUACAAGCCCCAGGAGGCUGGGGUGAUGAGAGCUUGC